UACGGGGGGGGCAAGCGUUGUUCGGAAUUACUGGGCGUAAAGGGCUCGUAGGCGGCCAACUAAGUCAGACGUGAAAUCCCCAGGCUCAACCUGGGAACUGCGUCUGAUACUGGAUGGCUUGAAUCCGGGAGAGGGAUGCAGAAUUCCAGGUGUAGCGGUGAAAUGCGUAGAUAUCUGGAGGAAUACCGGUGGCGAAGGCGGCAUCCUGGACCGGCAUUGACGCUGAGGAGCGAAAGCUGGGGGAGCGAACAGG
rnacentral:rRNA from 1 species